rnacentral:lncRNA from 1 species
UUAACCUUUCCUUCAAGCCUUUGUUUUAAUUCUGAAUGGAAGGCCUAUGUUUUGGGAUUGAGCUUUAAGAGAACGUGUUAGGUUCAAGCCGACAGGAAUAGGGUCUUGAGUAGUUCUGAUUUGCAUUUUUUGGAUCAGAUAGGACUAGAAUGGACUCUACUUGGGUUUUGGGGUUAUUUGGGAUGGUGAAAAGAAAAGAAAAGAAAAGGGAAAUAAAUUGAGUCUUCAGGAGAGUAAAAGUUUCAGAGAAGUUUAAGGUUCUAGUGAAAGAUAAGUGGGGAAUGAAAAAAAAAUAGAAAAGAAAUGGUUCUGGUUUUUAAAAGAAAGAGAGAAAAGUGUGAAGAUAGCCAAAUGCUUUGAUGUCUUAAGUGUUAAGAAGAAAGAGAACCAUAGUGUUUAUAAAGAAAACCACCUAUCCACUAGUUUAUCAUAAGAAACUCUCAUAGGACUUAGAACAAAAAGGGAAAUUGGGA